CUGCCCCCACAGCCUGGUUCUCAGGGUCUCAGUCACAGGGCCCCCCUUCCAAUCCAGCAUGACAGUAGCCAUGGCCACUCUCGCUGUUUUGAGCUGUGGCUCGUUUCCAUUGUUUCUCCAGCUCUGCUGGCCCAGUUGGAGAGUGGGGUCUGUAUCAAGGGGUGAAUCAAUAUACCACCUCUACGCCCUGAAUAAACAAUCCCUGAGUCAGCCAGUCCUAUGUGACCCUGGGCCCUGUCCUGACACUGAAUUCUGUCCUGAGACUGUUUUAUCCCAAUCCUGAGUCCUAUCCUUGUCCUGAGUCCUGUCCUGAUCCUCGGUCCUAUCCUGAUCCUGAAUUCUAUCCUGAUCCUGAAUCCUAUCCUGAUCCUGAGUUCUAUCCUGAUUCUGAGUCCUAUUCUAAUCCUGGGUCUUAUUCUAAUCCUGAGUCCUAUUCUGAUCUUGAAUCCUAUCCCAAUCCUUAUCCUGAUCCUGAGUCCUAUUCCGAUCCUGAGUCCUAUUUUGAUCCUGAAUCCUAUUCUGAUAACAAGUUCUAUCCUGAUGCUGGGUUCUGUUCUGAUGCUGGGUCUUAUUUUAAUCCUGAGUCUUGGUCUUAUCUUGGAUCCUGUCCUGAUCCUGAAUCCUAUCUUGAUCCUGAGUUCUUAUUUUGAUCCUGGGUCUUAUUUUAAUCCUGAGAACUGUUUUGAUCCUGGAUCUUAUUUUAAUCUUGAAUCCUGUCCUGAUCCUGGAUCUUAUUUUAAUCUUGAGUCCUGUCCCAAUCCUGAGUCCUGUCCCAAUCCUGGAUUCUGUCCUGAGACUGUGUUUUAUCCUAUCCUUGUCCUGAGUCCUGUCCUCAUCCUCAGUCCUUUUCUAGUCCUGUGUCCUGUUUUGUUCCUGAGUCUUGUCCUGAUACUGAGUCCUAUUCUGAACCUGAGUCGUGUCCUGAUUCUGAGUCCCAUCCUGAUCCUGAGUCCUGUCCUGACCUUCAGUCCUGUUCUUCCCAGAGGUGACAGGCACGAUGGGACUGACUGGUCCAGAGUAUUUCCCUGGACUCCAUCCCCCCUUGCCUUCUAGGACACUUCCUGGGCUUUCACAGCCAGGGCAGCAUCAGGAAUCACAUCAGGAACGUGAUGAGGCAGUGCAGUGGGUUGAACAGUGUCUUCCUGGAACUGCAGAAUACGACCUUAUUUGGAAAUCAGGUCUUUGCAGGUGGAGUCAAGUUGAGGUGAGGCCCCAAUUCAAUGGCUGGUGUCCUUGUAAGAGAAAAGAGGAGGAGAGGUGAGGUGCAGACACACAGGGAGAAAGGCCACAUGAAGUCAGAGUUAGGCACCAGCUGGAGGCCAGGAGCAUCAAGAAUGCUGGCGGUCCCAGGAGCUGGAGGAGGCAAGAGGGAUCCUCCCCCAGAGCUGUCAGGGAGGGCACGGCCCUGCUGACUCCACCGUGGACUUCCAGCAGAACGGGGGGACAAUCAACGUCUACUGCCUUUGUGGUCAUCUGUUCUGGGAGCCACAGAAAAGUAACACAGGGAACACGUGAGAGGAAAUCAUGGGCUAUAGAAGCGCAGAACUGUGAGAGCACUGAGGUUAUUGUAAGAUUGAAGACAAACAAGCGGAUGUGAUUUCCCUGGGGAAGUGGCACAAACAGGAACCAGGAAAUGACCGUGCGCCCAGCAUCUCACCUGACCCCGGGCAGUCCAGCUGCUGUGUCCCUGUUUGCUGCCAGUGCAAAGUCUGAGAUGGUGACCAGAGGCCUCAAGUAAGUUCAAUCUCCCAGGAAGUGAGCAGAUCUUCAUCAGUUCUGGGUACUUUCCGGACCCAGGAAGAGUUUUCUGAAUCCUGAGGAAGAGAAUGACCCUGCCAUGGUCCUUUGCUUGUCCUGUGACUCCCCUUCCUGUUACUUACCAGAAAGAGCCUCCUCUUCCUCACUCCAUCCCUCCUGGUCUCCAACACCUACAGCCUGAAAUUUCCUCCACGAACACUCUCCAGGUCCAGCCCAGGAGGUGACCCUCCGUGCCCGCGGGCUCCUACUGACUCUCACUCUUUGCCCUUUCCCUCAUGCUUCUCCCGAGCCAGCUGGGCAGCCAAGAUCAGAAGUAGGGGCACAAACUAUAUCUGAGGUUCUUAAGGUCCAGCUGGGCCUUCAAUCCGUUUAAAUAAAAUGUUCUGCACCCAGAA